CGUGUAGGCGUCCUGAUAAGUCAGAUGUGGAAGCCUUGGGCUUAACCCAAGAAGUGCAUUUGAAACUGUCAGGAUUGAGUCGUGCAAGGGAGGGCGGAAUUCCUGGUGUAGCGGUGAAAUGCGUAGAUAUCAGGAGGAAGGCCGGUGGUGAAGACGGCCCUCUAGGCAAUGACUGACGCUGAGGCGCGAAAGCGUGGGGAGCAAACAGGAUUAGAUACCCUGGUAGUCC
rnacentral:rRNA from 1 species